AUACGAACUGUGCAAACGUUAUUCGGAAUCACUGGGCUUAAAGGGUGCGUAGGCGGACUUGAAGGUCCGAUGUGAAAUCCCACGGCUCAACCGUGGAAUUGCGUCGGAAACCACAAGUCUUGAGGGAGUCAGAGGUAAGCGGAACUGAUGGUGGAGCGGUGAAAUGCGUUGAUAUCAUCAGGAACACCGGUGGCGAAAGCGGCUUACUGGGACUUUUCUGACGCUGAGGCACGAAAGCUAGGGGAGCGGACGGGAUUAGAAACCCUAGUAGUCC
rnacentral:rRNA from 1 species